UGACCUGCGGAGGGAUCAUUACCGAGUUUACAACUCCCAAACCCAAUGUGAACGUUACCAAACUGUUGCCUCGGCGGGAUCUCUGCCCCGGGUGCGUCGCAGCCCCGGACCAAGGCGCCCGCCGGAGGACCAACCAAAACUCUUAUUGUAUACCCCCUCGCGGGUUUUUUUAUAAUCUGAGCCUUCUCGGCGCCUCUCGUAGGCGUUUCGAAAAUGAAUCAAAACUUUCAACAACGGAUCUCUUGGUUCUGGCAUCGAUGAAGAACGCAGCGAAAUGCGAUAAGUAAUGUGAAUUGCAGAAUUCAGUGAAUCAUCGAAUCUUUGAACGCACAUUGCGCCCGCCAGUAUUCUGGCGGGCAUGCCUGUCCGAGCGUCAUUUCAACCCUCGAACCCCUCCGGGGGGUCGGCGUUGGGGAUCGGCCCUGCCUUGGCGGUGGCCGUCUCCGAAAUACAGUGGCGGUCUCGCCGCAGCCUCUCCUGCGCAGUAGUUUGCACACUCGCAUCGGGAGCGCGGCGCGUCCACAGCCGUUAAACACCCAACUUCUGAAAUGUUGACCUCGGAUCAGGUAGGAAUACCCGCUGAACUUAAGCAUAUCAAA
rnacentral:rRNA from 1 species